UACGGAGGGUGCAAGCGUUGUCCGGAUUCAUUGGGUUUAAAGGGUGCGCAGGCGGGAGAUUAAGUCAGGGGUGAAAGACGGUUGCUCAACAAUCGCAGUGCCCUUGAUACUGGUUUUCUUGGGUGACCUUGAGGUAGGCGGAAUGGGUGGUGUAGCGGUGAAAUGCAUAGAUACCACCCAGAACUCCGAUUGCGAAAGCAGCCUACUGGAGGUUAACCGACGCUCAGGCACGAAAGCGUGGGGAUCAAACAGG
rnacentral:rRNA from 1 species